GACGAACGCUGGCGGCGUGCCUAAUACAUGCAAGUAGAACGCACAGUUUAUACCGUAGCUUGCUACACCAUAGACUGUGAGUUGCGAACGGGUGAGUAACGCGUAGGUAACCUGCCUGGUAGCGGGGGAUAACUAUUGGAAACGAUAGCUAAUAACGCAUAAUAUUAAUUAUUGCAUGAUAAUUAAUUGAAAGGUGCAAUUGCACCACUACCAGACGGACCUGCGUUGUAUUAGCUAGUAGGUGAGGUAACGGCUCACCUAGGCGACGAUACAUAGCCGACCUGAGAGGGUGAUCGGCCACACUGGGACUGAGACACGGCCCAGACUCCUACGGGAGGCAGCAGUAGGGAAUCUUCGGCAAUGGACGAAAGUCUGACCGAGCAACGCCGCGUGAGUGAAGAAGGUUUUCGGAUCGUAAAGCUCUGUUGUAAGAGAAGAACGGGUGUGAGAGUGGAAAGUUCACACUGUGACGGUAUCUUACCAGAAAGGGACGGCUAACUACGUG
rnacentral:rRNA from 1 species